UACGGAGGGUGCAAGCGUUGUCCGGAAUCACUGGGCGUAAAGGGCGCGUAGGCGGCGCGGAUAGUCGGCGGUGAAAGCCCGGAGCUCAACUCCGGGUCGGCCGUCGAUACUUCCGGGCUUGAGCACUGUAGAGGCAGAUGGAAUUCCGGGUGUAGCGGUGGAAUGCGUAGAGAUCCGGAAGAACACCGGUGGCGAAGGCGGUCUGCUGGGCAGUUGCUGACGCUGAUGCG
rnacentral:rRNA from 1 species